CACGUAGGGGCCAAGCGUUGUCCGGAUUUAUUGGGCGUAAAGAGCUCGUAGGCGGUUCGUCACGUCGGCUGUGAAAUCCCGAGGCUCAACCUCGGGUCUGCAGUCGAUACGGGCGGACUGGAGUACUGCAGGGGAGACUGGAAUUCCUGGUGUAGCGGUGAAAUGCGCAGAUAUCAGGAGGAACACCGGUGGCGAAGGCGGGUCUCUGGGCAGUAACUGACGCUGAGGAGCGAAAGCGUGGGGAGCGAACAGG
rnacentral:rRNA from 1 species